GCCCCUAGUUAGUUGUUCUUGUCUUUUUUCUAUAUUGAAGAGUCCAGGUCUACUUAGUCUGUUCUCACAGAUAAGCGUUCACUGCUGGAGGAAUCCAUUCUACUUAACUAGUAGGAAAUGAAGGAUAUUUUUUUCAGGGGAAAUCUCCCAACAUCUCAUUGCCAUGGCCACAGGCCCAAGCAGUUCCCAUUUCCUUUUUCUUCAGGCUUCAUGGAGUAGUUCCCACAGGAAGGGCACCAUGGCACGCAAGCAGAAGGUCCAACACCAUAUGCAGAAUUUUCAGAAGCUCAGGAUAAUAUCACAGUGUCACUCAGGAUCCAGCACAUCUGGUCCUUCAGCCAUGGCACAUCAUCUCUCAAGGGACAGCAGCUGUGAUAAUCAUGAAGACUGCUGUCAGUCACCAGCACUACAAAGAAAUCAUCCUUCUUCAUAAGAAACAAGGAAUUGAUCUAUCCUCCUCUACGACUAGAAAGC
rnacentral:lncRNA from 1 species